AUUGAACGCUGGCGGCAGGCCUAACACAUGCAAGUCGAACGAGUGGCGGACGGGUGAGUAAUGUCUGGGAAACUGCCUGACGGAGGGGGAUAACUACUGGAAACGGUAGCUAAUACCGCAUACCAUCGGAUGUGCCCAGAUGGGUUUAGCUAGUGGGUGGGGUAACGGCUAACCUAGGCGACGAUCCCUAGCUGGUCUGCGAGGAUGACCGGCCACACGGGAACUGAUACACGGUCCGAACUCCUACGGGGGGAAGCAGUGGGGAAUAUUGCACAAGGGGCGCAGGCCGGAUGCAGCCAUGCCGCGUGUAUGAAGAAGGCCUUGGGGUUGUAAAGUACUUUCAGCGAGGAGGCGUUACUCGCAGAAGAAGCACCGACUAACUCCGUGCCAGCCGCCGCGGUAAUAC
rnacentral:rRNA from 1 species